rnacentral:rRNA from 1 species
GAUGAACGCUGGCGGCGUGCCUAAUACAUGCAAGUCGAGCGAACAGAUGAGGAGCUUGCUCCUCUGACGUUAGCGGCGGACGGGUGAGUAACACGUGGAUAACCUACCUAUAAGACUGGGAUAACUUCGGGAAACCGGAGCUAAUACCGGAUAAUAUAUUGAACCGCAUGGUUCAAUAGUGAAAGACGGUUUUGCUGUCACUUAUAGAUGGAUCCGCGCCGCAUUAGCUAGUUGGUAAGGUAACGGCUUACCAAGGCAACGAUGCGUAGCCGACCUGAGAGGGUGAUCGGCCACACUGGAACUGAGACACGGUCUAGACUCCUACGGGAGGCAGCAGUAGGGAAUCUUCCGCAAUGGGCGAAAGCCUGACGGAGCAACGCCGCGUGAGUGAUGAAGGUCUUCGGAUCGUAAAACUCUGUUAUUAGGGAAGAACAAAUGUGUAAGUAACUAUGCACGUCUUGACGGUACCUAAUCAGAAAGCCACGGCUAACUACGUG